rnacentral:rRNA from 1 species
UUUAAUGUUAAAAUAUAUAAUGGGGGUUAUAGUAUUUUAAUAUGAAAAAAUUGAAAAAUUUAUAGUAAAUUAGUAUUGUGGGGGAUUUUUGAAAUAUUUUAAAUAUAAAUUUUUGAAAAAGUAAUUUUAAUUUAUUGUAUCUUGGGUAUCAGAGUUUAUUAAUAAUUUUUUAAUUUUUUAAAUUUCUCGAAUUUAAAAGAGAUAAUUAAUUAUUAAAGUUAUUGUGGCAAAAAUAUUUUUAAUAAAUUAAUUGGAAAUGAAAUGUUAAUCGUUUUUAAAUAUAUCUAGUUUUUUUAGAAAAAAAUUAAAUUUUAAAUUUUAUAAAAAAUUUAUUAAUUAAUGAGUAAAUUUUUAUUUAAAAUUUUAUAUUUUAAGGGAUAAGCUUUAAAUUAUAAUUAUAUAAUUAUAUUAUUUUAAAAAAUAAAAAAUUUUAUAAUUUAAAUUGUUAAAUAAAUUUUAAUUUAUUAUAAAUAAUUUUAAUAAUAAUAAAAUUUAAUUAAAAAUUUAUAUUUUUAUAAAAAUAUAAUUUUUAUUAAUAUAAAAUUAGAUAUAAUGAUAAAAUUAGUAUAUAAAUUAAAAAUUUAAAUAAUUGAGUGUAAUUAAAAUUAGAGUAAAAGAAUUCGGCAAAAUUUUUUAUUCACUUGUUUAUCAAAAACAUGUCUUUUUGGAAAUAAUUUAAAGUCUAAUCUGCCCACUGAUGAUAUAUUAAAGGGCUGCAGUAUAUUGACUGUACAAAGGUAGCAUAAUCAAUAGUCAUUUAAUUGAUGACUUGAAUGAAAGAUUGGAUGAAAUAUUAACUGUUUCUAUUUUAAAAUUUAAAAUUUAAUUUUUCAAUCAAAAAGUUGAAAUUUUUUAAAAAGACGAGAAGACCCUAUAGAGUUUUAUAUAGAAAUUUAAUUAAAAAUUAUUUAUUUUUAUUUAUUUAAUUAAAAUUAAUUUUUAUAUUUUGUUGGGGUGACAAAAAAAUAAAAUUAACUUUUUUAUUUAUAAAACAUUAAUAAAUGAUUUAUUGAUCCAAUUUUAUUGAUUUUAAGAAAAAAUUACCUUAGGGAUAACAGCGUAAUUUUUUUUUUUAGUUCAUAUAAAAAAAAGAGUUUGCGACCUCGAUGUUGGAUUAAGAUAAAAUUUAAAUGUAGAAGUUUAAAAUUUUUGAUCUGUUCGAUCAUUAAAAUCUUACAUGAUCUGAGUUCAGACCGGUGUGAGCCAGGUUGGUUUCUAUCUUUUAGUAAUUAAUAUAUUUUAGUACGAAAGGAAUAAAUAUUUAAAUUAAAUUUAAUUUUAAGAAUAUU